AUUGAACGCUGGCGGCAGGCCUAACACAUGCAAGUCGAACGAGUGGCGGACGGGUGAGUAAUGUCUGGGAAACUGCCUGAUGGAGGGGGAUACAUCGUGGAAACGGUCGCUAAUACCGCAUCCCAUCAGAUGUGCCCAGAUGGGAUUAGCUUGUGGGUGGGGUAACGGCUCACCAAGGCGACGAUCCCUCGCUGGUCUGAGAGUAUGACCAGCCACACUGGAACUGAGACACGGUCCAGACUCCUACGGGAGGCAGCAGUGGGGAAUAUUGCACAAUGGGCGCAAGCCUGAUGCAGCCAUGCCGCGUGGAUGAAGAAGGCCUUCGGGUUGUAAAGUACUUUCAGCGGGGAGGCGUGACCCGCAGAAGAAGCACCGGCUAACUCCGUGCCAGCAGCCGCGGUAAUUC
rnacentral:rRNA from 1 species